UGCAAGUCGAGGGGUAUAUGGGGCUUGCUCCAUAGAGACCGGCAAACGGGUGCGGAACACGUACACAACCUACCCUUAUCUUGGGGAUAGCCUUUCGAAAGGAAGAUUAAUACCCAAUAGUAUAUUAGAGUGGCAUCACUUAAAUAUUAAAGAACUUCGGAUAAGGAUGGGUGUGCGUAAGAUUAGAUAGUUGGUGAGGUAACGGCUCACCAAGUCAACGAUCUUUAGCUGAUGUGAGAGCAUGAUCAGCCACACGGGCACUGAGACACGGGCCCGACUCCUACGGGAGGCAGCAGUGAGGAAUAUUGGGCAAUGGACGGAAGUCUGACCCAGCCAUGCCGCGUGAAGGAUGAAGGCGUUUUGCGUUGUAAACUUCUUUUACCUGGGAAGAAACCACAGAUUUCUAUUUGUGUUGACGGUACCAGGGGAAUAAGCACCGGCUAACUCCGUGCCAGCAGCCGCGGUAAUACGGAGGGUGCAAGCGUUAUCCGGAUUUACUGGGUUUAAAGGGUGUGUAGGCGGGCUAUUAAGUCUGGGGUGAAAUCUCCGAGCUCAACUCGGAAACUGCCCCGGAUACUAUUAGCCUUGAAUUAUGUUGAGGUUGGCGGAAUAUAACAUGUAGCGGUGAAAUGCAUAGAUAUGUUAUAGAACACCGAUUGCGAAGGCAGCUAACUAAGCAUAUAUUGACGCUGAGGCACGAAAGCGUGGGGAUCAAACAGGAUUAGAUACCCUGGUAGUCCACGCCCUAAACGAUGAUUACUCGUCACUGGCGAUACACAGUCAGUGACCAAGCG
rnacentral:rRNA from 1 species